GAUGAACGCUGGCGGCGUGCCUAAUACAUGCAAGUCGAGCGAACGGACGAGAAGCUUGCUUCUCUGAUGUUAGCGGCGGACGGGUGAGUAACACGUGGAUAACCUACCUAUAAGACUGGGAUAACUUCGGGAAACCGGAGCUAAUACCGGAUAAUAUUUUGAACCGCAUGGUCCAAAAGUGAAAGACGGUCUUGCUGUCACUUAUACAUGGAUCCGCGCUGCAUUAGCUAGUUGGUAAGGUAACGGCUUACCAAGGCAACGAUGCAUAGCCGACCUGAGAGGGUGAUCGGCCACACUGGAACUGAGACACGGUCCAGACUCCUACGGGGGACAACAGUAGGGAAUCUUACGCAAUGGGCGAGAGCCUGACGGAGCAACGCCGCGUGAGUGAUGAAGGUCUUCGGAUCGUAAAACUCUGUUAUUAGGGAAGAACAUAUGUGUAAGUAACUGUGCACAUCUUGACGGUACCUAAUCAGAAAGCCACGGCUAACUACGUG
rnacentral:rRNA from 1 species